rnacentral:rRNA from 1 species
UACAGAGGGUGCGAGCGUUAAUCGGAAUUACUGGGCGUAAAGAGCGCGCAGGCGGCUGGCCAAGUCCGAUGUGAAAUCUCCCGGCUUAACUGGGAAACUGCAUCGGAAACUGACCGGCUUGAAGGUGGGAGAGGGUAGUGGAAUUCCCGGUGUAGUGGUGAAAUGCGUAGAUAUCGGGAGGAACACCAGUGGCGAAGGCGAUCACCUGGGGUUGUUCUGACGCUGAGGAGCGAAAGCUAGGGGAGCAAACGGG